MWAUWMAUGCAAGUCGAGCGAACGGACGAGAAGCUUGCUUCUCUGAUGUUAGCGGCGGAUGGGUGAGUAACACGUGGAUAACCUACCUAUAAGACUGGGAUAACUUCGGGAAACCGGAGCUAAUACCGGAUAAUAUUUUGAACCGCAUGGUUCAAAAGUGAAAGACGGUCUUGCUGUCACUUAUAGAUGGAUCCGCGCUGCAUUAGCURGUUGGUAAGGUAACGGCUUACCAAGGCAACGAUGCAUAGCCGACCUGAGAGGGUGAUCGGCCACACUGGAACUGAGACACGGUCCAGACUCCUACGGGAGGCAGCAGUAGGGAAUCUUCCGCAAUGGGCGAAAGCCUGACGGAGCAACGCCGCGUGAGUGAUGAAGGUCUUCGGAUCGUAAARCUCUGUUAUUAGGGAAGAACAUAUGUGUAAGUAACUGUGCACAUCUUGACGGUACCUAAUCAGAAAGCCACGGCUAACUACGUGCCAGCAGCCGCGGUAAUACGUAGGUGGCAAGCGUUAUCCGGAAUUAUUGGGCGUAAAGCGCGCGUAGGCGGUUUUUUAAGUCUGAUGUGAAAGCCCACGGCUCAACCGUGGAGGGUCAUUGGAAACUGGAAAACUUGAGUGCAGAAGAGGAAAGUGGAAUUCCAUGUGUAGCGGUGAAAUGCGCAGAGAUAUGGAGGAACACCAGUGGCGAAGGCGACUUUCUGGUCUGUAACUGACGCUGAUGUGCGAAAGCGUGGGGAUCAAACAGGAUUAGAUACCCUGGUAGUCCACGCCGUAAACGAUGAGUGCUAAGUGUUAGGGGGUUUCCGCCCCUUAGUGCUGCAGCUAACGCAUUAAGCACUCCGCCUGGGGAGUACGACCGCAAGGUUGAAACUCAAAGGAAUUGACGGGGACCCGCACAAG
rnacentral:rRNA from 1 species